rnacentral:piRNA from 1 species
UACACUAACGAUAGCUCUUGGUUGCCCGGUC